AACGUAGGUGGCAAGCGUUAUCCGGAUUCACUGGGCGUAAAGCGCACGCAGGCGGCCGGGCCGGUAGGGCAUGAAAUCUCCUGGCUUAACUGGGAGGGGUUGUCCUAUACCGCUCGGCUUGAGGAUAGGAGAGGGGAGUGGAAUUGCCGGUGUAGUGGUGAAAUGCGUAGAGAUCGGCAGGAACACCAGUGGCGAAGGCGGCUCCCUGGCCUACUCCUGACGCUCAGGUGCGAAAGCUAGGGGAGCGAAC
rnacentral:rRNA from 1 species